rnacentral:rRNA from 1 species
AGUGAACGCUGGCGGUAGGCCUAACACAUGCAAGUCGAACGGCAGCACAGUAAGAGCUUGCUCUUACGGGUGGCGAGUGGCGGACGGGUGAGGAAUACAUCGGAAUCUACUUUUUCGUGGGGGAUAACGUAGGGAAACUUACGCUAAUACCGCAUACGACCUACGGGUGAAAGCGGGGGAUCUUCGGACCUUGCGCGAUUGAAUGAGCCGAUGUCGGAUUAGCUAGUUGGCGGGGUAAAGGCCCACCAAGGCGACGAUCCGUAGCUGGUCUGAGAGGAUGAUCAGCCACACUGGAACUGAGACACGGUCCAGACUCCUACGGGAGGCAGCAGUGGGGAAUAUUGGACAAUGGGCGCAAGCCUGAUCCAGCCAUACCGCGUGGGUGAAGAAGGCCUCCGGGUUGUAAAGCCCUUUUGUUGGGAAAGAAAAGCAGCAGGUUAAUACCCCGCUGUUCUGACGGUACCCAAAGAAUAAGCACCGGCUAACUUCGUG